GUCGUAACAAGGUAGCCGUAGGGGAACCUGCGGUUGGAUCACCUCCUUACCUAAAGAUACGCAUUGUGCAGUGUCCACACAGAUUGUCUGAUGAAAUUAAUGAGCAAGAGCACCUGUUGAUGCAGUGAGGGCAACCUUACGCUGAUACGAAAAGUGCCAAACCAUGUAUGUGGUCUGGUACGGAAUUUUCGUGUCCCCAUCGUCUAGAGGCCUAGGACACUGCCCUUUCACGGCUGUAACAGGGGUUCGAAUCCCCUUGGGGACGCCACUCCGAUAAUGUGUGAAAGACAUUAUCAACUGUUCUUUUAUGAACAGAAAAUAUCUUAAAGAUGACUUUAAUAAGUCGUGUUUAAGAUAUUGCUCUUUAACAAUCUGGAACAAGCUGAAAAUUGAAAGUUUACAGCUGAACAUCACUCUCCGUAGAAGUACUGAGUGAUGGAUUAGUCUGUAACAGAGUCUCUCAAAUAAUCGCAGCGCGAUGUUGUCUUUAAGACACCUUCGGGUUGUGAGGUUAAGCGACUAAGCGUACACGGUGGAUGCCUUGGC
rnacentral:misc_RNA from 1 species